GCCUGAGAUUGAUCUCGAGCUCAUGUUCAGGUUUUCUUUUGCUUCACUUUUACAUGCAAGUAUUGCUACAUAUUAGUCCUCACAGAUGUUAAUUUUCAGCCUCACAGUCUGGAAGAGAUGGCAGGACAUAUUGCAGUGGACCUGUUUUUGGAUACAUCUUGCAAGUGGUUAGCUUCAGUGAGGACAGUUCACAGAGACAUCAGUCACUGAAAUGUCUGCAAAUUGACCCCUUUCCUGAUCACUUAUCAGAAAUGUACCAGGCUCUCACAUGCUAAUUAGUAGAUCAGCAUCUAUACGACACCCAUCCCAUAAGGUACACCUGCAAUACACAGGUACAAGCACCUCUGAAACAGUAGGUGUUCUUGCAUCUCAUAGCAAAUAGCAAUAGGAACAGUGGCUUGGCAUGGCUUUCCUCAUCUUUCCAUAAAUGUUGUGUUGAGAAAAAGAUAUC